CAUAGCGAGAAAGAAACUAACAAGGAUUCCCCUAGUAACGGCGAAGUGAAGCGGGAUGAGCUCAAAUUUAAAAUCUGGCUGGUUUACUAGUCCGAAUUGUAGUUUAAAGAAGCGUUUUCGGUGGCAGCCUGGGUAUAAAUCCUUUGGAAUAGGGUAUCAUAGAGGGUGAGAAUCCCGUCUUUGACUCAGUGAAUGCUACUAUGUGAUACGUUUUCAAAGAGUCGAGUUGUUUGGGAAUGCAGCUCAAAAUGGGUGGUAAAUUUCAUCUAAAGCUAAAUAUUGGCGAGAGACCGAUAGCGAACAAGUACCGUGAGGGAAAGAUGAAAAGAACUUUGAAAAGAGAGUUAAACAGUACGUGAAAUUGUUGAAAGGGAAACGUUUGACACCAGUCAUGCGGGUGGAAAAUCAGUCUUUUAGAGUAGGGAGUGGUGGGGGUUCGGACCGCAAGGCUGGCCUUUAUCUCAUCUCUGCGCUAAUGGAUGCACUUUUUCAUUUGCAGGUCAACAUCAGUUUCUUCUGCUGGACAAAACUCCGAGAGAAGGUAGCAGCUUUGGCUGUGUUAUAGCUCUGGAGCGAUACAGUGGAGGGGACUGAGGUUUUCGCAGUGUGUGCUCUCGGGCAAGGUUGAUUAGGUGCUAUGUGAUCGUUCGGUGUACAAUGCAUGCAUUUUGCGCUGUGUCUUUUGCAUACUCGCCUGACUCGACUCUUCCACGCUUAGGAUGUUGACUUAAUGGUUUUAAACGACCCGUCUUGAAACACGGACCAAGGAGUCUAACAUAUAUGCAAGUGUUUGGGUGGCAAACCCAUACGCGUAAUGAAAGUGAACGUAGGUGCGAUCCGCAAGGUGCAGCAUCGACCGAUCUUGAUAUUUUUGGAUAGAUUUGAGUAAGAGCAUAUAUGCUGGGACCCGAAAGAUGGUGAACUAUGCCUGAAUAGGGUGAAGCCAGAGGAAACUCUGGUGGAGGCUCGUAGCGAUUCUGACGUGCAAAUCGAUCGUCAAAUUUGGGUAUAGGGGCGAAAGACUAAUCGAACCAUCUAGUAGCUGGUCUG
rnacentral:rRNA from 1 species